rnacentral:pre_miRNA from 1 species
GUCCGGCGUUAGCCGGACGGACAGACUGGUAUAUAUAUAUAUAUACCAGUCUGGCCGUCCGGCUGACGCCGGAC